AGUGAACGCUGGCGGUAGGCCUAACACAUGCAAGUCGAACGGCAGCACAGUAAGAGCUUGCUCCUACGGGUGGCGAGUGGCGGACGGGUGAGGAAUACAUCGGAAUCUAAUUUUUCGUGGGGGAUAACGUAGGGAAACUUACGCUAAUACCGCAUACGACCUACGGGUGAAAGCAGGGGAUCUUCGGACCUUGCGCGAUUGAAUGAGCCGAUGUCGGAUUAGCUAGUUGGCGGGGUAAAGGCCCACCAAGGCGACGAUCCGUAGCUGGUCUGAGAGGAUGAUCAGCCACACUGGAACUGAGACACGGUCCAGACUCCUACGGGAGGCAGCAGUGGGGAAUAUUGGACAAUGGGCGCAAGCCUGAUCCAGCCAUACCGCGUGGGUGAAGAAGGCCUUCGGGUUGUAAAGCCCUUUUGUUGGGAAAGAAAAGCAGCGGAUGAAUACCCCGCUGUUCUGACGGUACCCAAAGAGUAAGCACCGGCUAACUUCGUG
rnacentral:rRNA from 1 species